rnacentral:rRNA from 1 species
ACGUAGGGGGCAAGCGUUGUCCGGAAUUACUGGGCGUAAAGAGCGCGUAGGCGGUUUAUUAAGUUAGGUGUGAAAGCUUCCGGCUCAACUGUAAGAGUCCAUUUAAAACUGGUAGACUUGAGUCUGGGAGAGGUAAGCGGAAUUCCUAGUGUAGCGGUGAAAUGCGUAGAGAUUAGGAAGAACACCGGUGGCGAAGGCGGCUUACUGGACGAGUACUGACGCUCAGGUGCGAAAGCGUGGGGAGCAAACAG